UGGCAGGAUCCCACCUGCACCAAGCGCUGGGCACUAGGGCGGGGACGAGGGGUGCUCUCUGGGGGGGAAAGGGGGGUCGCUGGAAGUUGGCGGGGUGAGAACUGGAGGAACUAGUCAGAGACAUGCCCCUCCCCGCCCUCCCUCUCCACUCGCCCCCGGUUGAGGGCCUUGGCUUUUGCAUAAUGCAAUCAAUUACACAUCCCCGACGCCGGCCGGCCCGCUGGAAAUUUAUAUGCUCAGCACAAACCAAUGUGAAAAUGGAAUCUCAUUUGCCAAAUGUCUUCCUCCCGGUACAGCACGAUGAUUACAGUCUGUGU
rnacentral:lncRNA from 1 species